rnacentral:rRNA from 1 species
AGUGAACGCUGGCGGUAGGCCUAACACAUGCAAGUCGAACGGCAGCACAGUAAGAGCUUGCUCUUACGGGUGGCGAGUGGCGGACGGGUGAGGAAUACAUCGGAAUCUACUUUUUCGUGGGGGAUAACGUAGGGAAACUUACGCUAAUACCGCAUACGACCUACGGGUGAAAGCAGGGGAUCUUCGGACCUUGCGCGAUUGAAUGAGCCGAUGUCGGAUUAGCUAGUUGGCUGGGUAAAGGCCCACCAAGGCGACGAUCCGUAGCUGGUCUGAGAGGAUGAUCAGCCACACUGGAACUGAGACACGGUCCAGACUCCUACGGGAGGCAGCAGUGGGGAAUAUUGGACAAUGGGCGCAAGCCUGAUCCAGCCAUACCGCGUGGGUGAAGAAGGCCUUCGGGUUGUAAGCCCUUUUGUUGGGAAAGAAAAGCGGCAGGUUAAUACCCCGCUGUUCUGACGGUACCCAAAGAAUAAGCACCGGCUAACUUCGUG